rnacentral:lncRNA from 1 species
UAGGUUCUCGAGUUCCGUGUCCUAAAAAUGUAAGUAGACUGAAAUAUUUAACUAGUAUAUUCGUGGUAUGCAACUGAUAUACACUCUGUUGUGUUUACUGUUUAUCUUUCUGUGUUAGGUCUUCUUCCUAACACAUGGGGGGAACAGUCUGAAUCACUUCUAUGUGUUUGGGUUGGACAUGGAGAAGAAGGAAAAGUUUAUUUUGAACAGGCUUCCCUACAAGAAGGAUUUUGAGACAAAGCCAUACUACAAGCCUACUGGAACACAAAUAAUGCAAUACGCCAGGUCUUUCGUCCUUUUUAACACUAACAUAUCAAAGACUUCAAGUGGAGGGUGGUGUGUGCUCUACAAUAGCCGGACAUUCACAAUUGUGGCUUAUAUGCACUUAGUUUUAUGGAGCAUUACAUCGGUCGUUUUACAACAUACCAAAUGAAGUAGUGGGAUGAAGAGACCGUGAUAAUCAAUGACAGGCUCAAGUAAUUCUGUCGGUUGGUCCUCUCACAAUGGAGUCAAAUUUGUUCCCAGAUAUUAUCUAAAGCGGCGGUGGACGUCCUGGUAGCUGGAACUUCGACCAACCCCCCAAAUUAGAUAUAUAUGUUAUGGAUAUUUGUAUGGUUUGCUUGUAUACUAUUGUUUUAUGGUUAUGUUAUAACUACUUUCUGAAUAGAUUAUGUGUGUUAUAGACAUGAAUGAAGCUUCCUUGCUUAUAUUAUGCAACUGGUUGUCUGGUAGGAAAAUUUUUAUUAUGUACGUAAGUUGUUAGGAAUAGUGAUGUAUCUUUGAUAUACGCCACUUAUCACAAUGUUUUGACCUUGGUAUAGUAAUGUACUUGUAACCAUGGUAGUGAAAUGGUCGAGUCAGCAUGGGAUCGAAAAAUGACAUUAAAUCGUAAUCGUAGAAUCAAAUCGUAAAAUCGUAAGAUUUCACGACUUUAUAUAAUAGCAUAUUAAAUAAGAAAAUGCAUUAAUUUUAGAGUAAUGUUAUUAUUUUAAUUUUUACUUAUUACUAAAAUAAUCAAAAUCUAUCAAUAAAAUAAAUAUAUUAAAAAUAACACCUAGAUUUUGUUUUAUUCUAAGCCAAACCGAGUGAUUGAAAAUGAAAAAUGGACAAUUUUUCUUAGAAAGUAAAUCGUAAAAUACAUGAAAAAUCAUUGAUUUCACAAGAUUCUAAGAAUUAAAUCGAGAUUUUACCUGAUUUCACUAACCAUCGAUUUUGAGUGGAAUCAGAAUCGUUAGACAACACUAAAAUCGUAAGAUUUCAAGAUCUAAAUCGUAGAUUUCACUACUGUGCUUGUAACACCCCAACUCUUGUAACUGAAAAUAAAGAUAAAUAAAUUGUCUUGGGACGGACUCUUGACUUUGCAAGGGGUGGUUACUUCUUCAAUUCAAAUAUAAAUAGCCAUCUUGUACCAAAACAAGAAGAAACAUUUAAAUGCAUCAUGAUACUAAUUUCGGAAGCUGUCCCUCACGUGCAUUUAAAACCAAUGUCGGAACAAAGUUCCAAAUCACACGAUCUCACAGUCCUUGUUAACUUUAGCUUGGCCACUAAAACACCAACGAUCGCUCAUAGCUAGUCCCUGGCAACCUGUAAACAUCUCAUGGGUGGUUUGGGAUCAUUCCUCAUAACUCGCAAUAACGAUUACAAUCACCAAACACAUAAGCAAUAUGACUUAGACUCUUUCUAUAUCUUAGUUGGGAUCCCUUGCUCACAUAUGCUGACGAUUUCCGGUCAUUCACAUAUCAUUAGUGGCACAAUUCAUGCCCAUUUUACUUAUCAUUUGGUGGAAAAGUUCAUGCCCAUUUUCGCCCCCAUUCGGGGCCAUAUACACAUAGCAGUAGUACAAUAAGCACACACGUAGAUCGCUAGCAUACAUGCCCUAAUCUAGGUGAUCAAACAAUUCUAAUUAUUACACCAUUAACAUAUACUUGUGACCGAAUGAACAAUGAUUGAAUAACAAACCAUAUAACACAUAUCAUACCAAUCAGGUACACCGCCACAAUUAUCACAACCAAUGGUCAAUAAAUCACGUCCACUUGACCUUGUCACGUUGCCACUUUAUCAAAUAUCAAAGAAAGCAUAUUAGGAAAAUCAAUCAUUAAAUAAAUUAUUGCGAUGGAAUUUACCCCCUUAAACCAGCCCACCAUGGGUGAAUCGCUUUUGGUUCAAACUAUGCGUCUAUGGUCCAAGAAUCGAUCAAUUAUGUCACUUCCGUAACCGUCCGGGCUAAAUUGUAAAGACGGAGAAGUAUUUGGGCCACGGUUGUCCAUAUUUAUAAGUUAUGGUGAUGAGAGUUAUUACUAAAAUAUUAUGUAGUAACACUUAAAUAAUUAUAUGGGGACUGAAGAUGAACUUUACCAUCAUCUUCUCCAAUUUACAGGGACGAACUCCGGCGAUCACGCGUUUAUUCCGGCGAGCUCCAAUGCAUGUGGUUUUGGCCUGGAAUCGGAAAAUAGGAACACAGACAGCUUCCUAGAUCCAUCACGAAUCUAACAAGAUGCGCUAGGAACCAUGGGCACGCCUGAAGUCCUCAAGGCAAUGCCACAUCGGACGAUUGAUCGGAGGAACGAGAGAAAGUCCCGGGUCUGUAAUAGAGAAGAUUGAUAGUGUAGUUAACCUCGUACAAGUCUCUCAUAACUCUCUAGGCUCAGGAACGAGACCAAGAUUGCUUGAAUUUAGGAAUUCCAUGAUGGCAGCGGAGCUCGUCGGAGCAGAGAAGCGACAAAGGGAAAACUCGGUCCCGAGAGGUUUCUUUGUUUUGUA